GGAUGUGAGGGCGAUCUGGCUGCGACAUCUGUCACCCCAUUGAUCGCCAGGGUUGAUUCGGCUGAUCUGGCUGGCUAGGCGGGUGUCCCCUUCCUCCCUCACCGCUCCAUGUGCGUCCCUCCCAAAGCUGCGCGCUUGGUCGAAGAGGACGACCAUCCCCGCUAGAGGAGGACCGGUCUUCGGUCAAGGGUAUACGAGUAGCUGCGCUCCCCUGCUAGAACCUCCAAACAAGCUCUCAAGGAAUUUAAUGUGUCAUGCUGUUACUCUGGAAGAAGAGGUCAUGACAAAGCUGUGAUACACCCUGAUUUGAGAUUCCUAUCCCUGCCAAAGGAUGUAGCAUUUAUCA
ensembl:misc_RNA 7SK 7SK RNA